rnacentral:rRNA from 1 species
GACGAACCGUGCGAACGUUAUUCGGAAUUACUGGGCAUAAAGGGUGCGUAGGUGGCUUGUUAAGUCAGGGGUGAAAGUUUUCGGCCCAACCGGAAAAUGGCCUUUGAUACUGGCGAGCUCGAGUGCGUGAGGGGUAACCGGAACGAGCAGUGUAGCGGUGAAAUGCGUAGAUAUUGCUCGGAAGGCCAACGGCGAAGGCAGGUUACUGGUGCGCAACUGACACUGAGGCACGAAAGCGUGGGGAGCAAACAGG